AUACGGGGGGCGCAAGCGUUGUUCGGAAUUACUGGGCGUAAAGCGCGCGUAGGCGGUUUGUUAAGUCAGAUGUGAAAGCCCUGGGCUCAACCUGGGAACUGCAUUUGAAACUGGCAGGCUAGAGUAUGAUAGAGGGAAGGGGAAUUCCACGUGUAGCGGUGAAAUGCGUAGAUAUGUGGAGGAACAUCAGUGGCGAAGGCGCCUUCCUGGAUCAAUACUGACGCUGAGGUGCGAAAGCGUGGGGAGCAAACAGGAUUAGAUACCCCGGUAGUCC
rnacentral:rRNA from 1 species